rnacentral:lncRNA from 1 species
GUGAUCAAAUCCAAAUUCCUCUUCAGCUUUACUUAGCAGCUCUUGAAAUGAAGGCUGGUUCAAGUGUGACACUGGAAUCACAAAUCUUUUCUUCUCUUCUUCUCCAACAUAUACUGCAAUAUAGCCUUUUCGAACAUCCCUAGCUGGAGAUGAUCCUCGAAGAAGAUUUUGCUUAGCUUGAAGAAUACGAGGGAAGCGAAUAGCCAUCAUUUUGUUUGGAUGUAAAUGUAAGAACAACAAGAAGAUUGUUAGGAUUUUAGUAAGGAACAGAAAACUCUGAUUCUUGAUGAGAAUGUGAAGGCUUGAGUUGGAUUGACAAGGUAAUUGUGUGCUGUAUAUAUAGAGGAAAGAUCACAAAAACAAAAGAAGAGCACCAUUGUGGAUAAUGGAUCUACUGGUGUAUGGUCAUUUGGAUGGGGUCUAAUGAGAGACAUGAAGUAGUGAAGGAUCACAUGGUAUUGUCUCAAAAGCAAGACUGGUAACAUAAUGUCCCCAGCAUUUUUUGAGAAAAACAAUCUACUCAGGACCCACUUGAAAUUCAAGGAGUUAGCUAUUAUGAAGUCUAUCUUAAGUUGUGACCACUUGAAUACUGCAGACAACCUUGAGACAUCUACCCUCUUGAAUUAGAGUUGAACGAUAUAGAAUGAUCAUUUCUGUGGACGACCUCUUAGAGUUCAGGGCAUGCUUCAGAAGUCUAAGUUCUUUUUUUUGUUGUUGUAAUGAUGGGUAGAGGUCUUACGGACCACAUUUGUCUUGUAAAUUAUAAAGCUUUUCUAAAUCAGCAGUAUGAACAUGGAUUAUCAGCAUUUAUUGCUCUAGCAAUAUAUUCCAACAUGUACCACCAGGAAAAGUAAAAGGGACAAAAACUUGCUAGACAAAACCAUGUGAAGUGCAUAUGAAGUGCGUGGCACUGCUUCACCCUUUUUAGAACCUAUCCUGCAUUUCAGAAUAUCUUGAUGCAACUGCAAAUGACGAAGUUAAUGUCGGUAACUGUUUCCAACCAUUGAAUUUGAAAUGUGGGUGCCACCAGGAACAGAAAAAGAGCAUCAAUGCUAUCCUCAGGAAGGUUUCAACCUUGGAGGCCAAAUAUGUUGCGAGGCCUUUUAUCUAUUCACUGCUUUUCAUCUGCAAAGGUUUUGGGUGAACUUUCGUAAAACAAUGGGGAUUAAAGUUAAGUUGACCACUGCUUUUCAUCAUCAGACCAAUGAACAGUUUGAUAUGACUAUACAAUUUUUUUAAGAUAUGCUGAGAGCUUGGGUGGUUGAUUUUGAGGUUGGAUGGAGCAAGUAUUUGUCUUUGGUAGAGUUUGUAUAUAACAAUAGUUAUCACGUGAGUAUUGAUAUGGCUUUGUAUGAUCGAAAGUCUAGAUCACCCAUAUAUUGGUAUGAAGUUGGUAAGAAGAGAUUGAUGGGUCCUGAUUUAAUACAAAUUACUUUGGAUAAGAUUAGGGUGAUCCGAGAUAAGCUUCGAAUAACUUAGAGUAUGCAAAUUACAUGGGUUGGAGGAGGUAUAUUUUAGAGUUUUCGGUGAGUGACAACGUGCUCUUGAGAGUCUCUUCCAACUAAAGAAUAUUCAGAUUUUGGAAUAAAGAAAAAUUAAGUCAUCAAUCGGUUUAUAGGCCCUUUGAGAUUUUGGAAAGAGUAGGGGCAAUGGUAUACAUGUUUUUUUCUCUCUCUUAAUUUGUCCUUCAUACAUCCAGUGUUUCACGUUUCAAUAUUAAGGAAGUACUUGCAAGAUCCGUCUCAUGUUUCGGAAGUUCAAUUGGGGUGAGGAAGGAUAUGUCAUAUGAAGUACAAUCAAUAGGAGGAGCAGUGGAUCGACAAGUUAGAAAGCUUUAGUCAAAGGAAAAUGCAUCAUUUAAGGUUGUGUGAAACGAAAUUCCAUGCAAAGAGGCAAUGUGGGAGCUUGAGUAGGUAAUAAGUGGCAAGUUUUUGUACUUGUUUGAUCAUAUGAUGGUAAGACUUUUGUUAUUAAAGUUUAAAUUCAAGGAUGAGUUUUGUAUAAUGGAGGGGAUGUUGUAAAACCCAUAUUUUAGCCCAUCAGACAUAAACCCAAGAACCCAACCUAACCUAUAUAUCUAAAGAGAAUUUUUUUUUCUAGAGAAUUGGUUUUCCCUUCUUCUCUUUUUCCCUCCCUUACUCUCUUUUUCCCUCCCUUACGAUAGCUUUUCUCCUAAAUAUACCAAAGAACUCAACUCUAUCUAAAGUUAAACUUUUUGGUUUUAAGAAGGAUAUGAAGAAACAAGUAUCAUGAUCACUCCUUUUUUUGUUGUUUUCGAAUGGGGAUUAAACAUCAUAUCUCCAGUAGCUCUUGAAUGAGUGAAUAAUUAGGAUAUGGAUGAUAGCAUAGGGGUUAAAGACAAUCUGAAUCGAUUCAUAAGAAACAUGUUCUAGUAUGAUUUUAAUAGUUUGUGGAUUAAAGAAGUGUUUUGGGAUAUGUUGAUUUGGUAAUUUGACUAUUUAAGAUGUUUAAUUAAUAUUUAGGGUAUUAAUUUGGCUUAAAGAGAAUCGAUUUGAGGACUAGAGUUAUGAGUUUUUGAGGAACAUGUUGAGUUUUAAAGAUUUGCAAUUUUGAAAGAUUAACAAAUCAAGAUUUUGAAAUCCUAAUCAACCAGUCAACCUGUUUAUUUGAAUCGAUUGACCAAUUGGCUUGAUGAUAUCAGUUGAGUUGUUGAUCAAUUUUGGUUGACUGGUUCUUUUAGGUUUGGUUAGUUUGGGAAAUGUUUGGGAUUGAUUAGGUGGAUUUAUUUUGGUUUUAUAAUUAUAUUUUGGUCUCAAAUCUUAGAAUUAUAAUCUUUUAUAUUAUCUGAUUCGAGUGGUUUUGAGUAUUUUUUGUAUUCAUUAUAGAUUCUGUUGACAUUCUCCUAGCAAUCUUUAGUAAUCUCUAGUUUUACAUUUGUUGGUCUCUUGUUUCUGGUUUACAGGUAAGUGCAAUAAUUUUUAAUAUGCAUGUAAUAUAAAUAAUUUAUAUAAGUUGAUUUAUUUUCUAGGUGCAAAUUUGUAUUCGCAUUGUAUUGAUUUAAUUCUAUUUGGUAUAUUAUUUGUUUGCUUUGAUACACACAAACACACACACUAAUAUUUGUUAUUUUUGGAUAUCAAUAUGCCCGUUAGAAAUUCCAUACUAAUAGAGAAAAGUUAGUAUAUAUACACUUAGUAGUUUGUAUAUAUGCUUAGUUGGUGAGAGAGACAUCAGAUUGUGACGAUUAAUCAUCUCAUAGUUAUCGAGGUCGCAAACCUUUUCUGUUAUAUAUAUGUUUCGGUUCUUAUACUUCUAUUAUAUCAUAAUUUCUGGUCUAUAACAUAAAAAUAUCUAUAAUGUAUAUUAAAUAUUAUUUCUUCACCAAGUUGGUUAAACUCACCGCUAUAUUCUAAUAUUAUUUUAAGGUUCUUAACUUAUAUUAGCAGGUUGAUUUUUAUAUAAGAGUUCCUCCUACUUCAUUUAUUGGUAUGCAUUGUUUGCUUCUACAAGGCUUUUCUUCUAAUUUAUUUUUUUAAUUUGAUGUCUUAGUCACUUUAUUAUUACACAGCUUUUAUUCAAGUUUGGAUUUUUAUUUCAAAGAUUGAAAUUUAUUUAAUGCAAUAAUACUUAUUAUGAAUUUUUAUUUUAUUUCUAUUUAAUGAUUGUCGCACCCGACAUCGCAGCAGCCUUUAAAAUUUAAUUAAAUAUUUGGAAAAGAUCGAAUUUCUGGCAUCAUGUUCUUUAAUGGGAAAUGGUCUUGUUUAAGGAGUCGCCACCUAGUAUUAUAGUCACUAGGAACCCUAACUGGUCAACAGAGAUUCUAUGGUUCGGGACUGGUUACGUAAAAUGAAAGAUAUUAUCACUCCUUAAACGUCCUGCCUAAGACAUACUGCAUUGCUAGUUUCGUCUUAAAUUGCUAAAUGUUUAUUAGACAAAUAUUUUUUAGUUUUUCUAGCUAAAUAAAAUAAAAUACAACGAAUAAAAAUAAUAUAAAUUUAAACUGAUAUUUUUAUUCCUGACUCUGGCGUCAAUGAAUAAACCAAUAAAUUUACAUUAUUUUUAUUCGUGCAUACACAUUUUUUUAUUUUUUUUAUUUUUCUGUUUUUUAUUUUUUUUAUUUUUUUUGGGCUGGGCUGGGCUGGACCCAGCCCAGCAUAUAUUUUUUUGUACUGGUCCAGCUCAGUCCAUAUGGGCUGGGCUAGGCCCGGCUGGGCUAGCAACACGCGUGUUACAACACUGUGCAAGUGAAUUAAAAUUCACUUGCACAGUGCAAAUGCAAUUGUAACAAAGGAGCGCAAGAAGAACAGAUUGCUUACCUGGUCUGCUGCCCGUUUUUCCCUUCUUCUUCCGUUCUUAUGAUUCUGCGAAUGGUUCGUUCAUAAAUAUUUCCCGGUAAUCUCUGUCCCUUCAUCACAAUCAUAACACCUUUACUCACCUUUAGUACUUCACCUUUAAACUUGAAGCUGAAUCCUUUAUGGUCUAAAGUGCCUAAUAUAAUUAGAUUCUUUCUUAAAUCUGUUAUAUGUUUAACAUCACACAAAGUUCAAAUAGCACCAUCAAACAUUUUAAUUUUGAUAUUUUCUAUUCCAACAACUUUGCAUGGAUCAUCAUUAUCUAUUGUCAUAACCCAAUUUUCGAUCUUUUUAUUUUAAUUAUUUUAUUUACUGUAAAAAAUGCUGAAAAAAUAAUGAAAAAGAAAGAAAAAUAAAAUAAAUGAAGAAUUAAUUAAAAUUUGGGUUAAGGGUGACAUGAUUGGAAGUUUUGGGGAUUAAUUAAACUUUGUAAUUUAAUUAAUCGAAUCAAAGGUUUAAUUGGAGAAUUAAUAAGUUUUGAGACUUAAUUGAGUUUGGAAUUAAUUGAAUUAAUGAAAUUAGGGACUUAAUUGAAGAAUUACCAAAGUUUGGGGUUAACUGGGGUGCCAAAUUGCAACAGAUUAGAGUCCAAGGACUAUUUUGUAAAAUAGGCUGAAAUGCUGAGGUCCAAUUAAAGUUUAUCCAGGGGCUUAUUUACAAAAAAUUCAAAACUUCAAGGACCAGAUCAUAAAUAGCAGUUGAUGGGAAAACGGAGCCGUUUCUUGGACGAAACUGUUCACUGUCUUCUUCCUCCGUUUCAUCAAUUUCCAGCCAACGCUUGGGUUUCAUAAUUGAAGGCAACCAGUUACAGGGCAUUUAAGAGGCGACCGUUACAGCGCCGAUCGAUCUCUAGCCUUAUAAAAGCUGGGCAAAGGCAACCUCAGAAGGGAGAGAAAAAAGAAGGGAACCGGGGGGGUGAAGACAGACGAAACGCAGAAAAAAAAGAACGAACGCAGGAGACAGAGAAUGAGAGCAAGAAAACAGAGAGAGUGAGCAACUGGAAACAAGAAAAAACAGGGGACGAACAGGCCGAAAAUCAGACGAACGAACAGGAGGAGGAAGGAGAGACUGGAAAAAGGAGAACAGAACAGCCCGCCACCACGCCAUCGUCAUCGUCUUCGUUCCUGUGCGUCCAGGUAAGAUUCUCGCUCUCUUUCAUUUUUAGUUAUAUAAGUACAGUGAGAAGGUAAUUUUAAUUACCUUCCCACUGUGCACAGCAUGCGUGAAUAAUUCACGCAUGCGUGCCUCAGCCAGCCGGGCCACUGGCCGGUUGGGCCUAGCCAAGCCCAAAAAAAAAAAGUAGAAAAAAUAAAAAUUAUGUAUGCAUGAAUAAAAAUAAUGUAAAUUUAUUGGUUUAUUCACUAACGCUAAAGUCAUGAAUAAAAAUACCGGUUUAAAUUUAUAUUAUUUUUAUUCGUUGUAUUUUAUUUUAUUUAGCUAGAAAAAUAAAAAAUAUGUGCAUGCGUAAAAAUAAAUUUAUUUUUAUUUAUUUAUUCACUAGCGCCAGAGUCCAGAAUAAAAAAAUAUUGAUCUUAUUUAUUUUAUAGCUACAUGAUAUUUACCAACGCAAGAGUUGGAAUUAUCUGUAGUUGAAUAUUCACUGGCGUCAGAGACAUGAAUAUUGCAAGGAAACCAUCAUAGCAUAAACCAAUAAAUAUUUAGCAAUUUAAAGACAAAACCAGCAAUGCAGUCUAUCUCAGGCAGAACGUUAAAGGGGUGAUAAUAUCUUCCUUUUUACGUAACCAAUCUCGUACCAUAGAUCUCUGUUAACCAGUUAGGGUUCCUAGUGACCAUAAUACUAGGUGACGACUCCUUAAACAAAGACCAUUUCCCAUCAAAGAACAGGAUGCCAGAAAUCUGUUCUUGUCGAUAUUAAAAAUAUUUUUAGAGUCGCCGCAAUGUCGGGUGCGACACCUAUCAUAAUAGAAUUAUAAUUAACUAACAUCUAGUUGUCUAGCAAAUCUUUAUUCAGAGUUGUGUGAUAAGAACAUGCCGAAUCCAAUAUGCAAGAAUAGGUGGGAUGAUCUGAACUCGAUGAAACAAAAAGCAUAUCUUCGUCAUUAAGCAAGCAACUAUCAAGUUGGUUUUCUCCAUUACAGUUUCGCAUGAUUGGAUGAUUUAAAGGUUGACACGUCAUUAUUUAUCUUGUUUGUGUGUGCUGAUAUGUUUUACCUUCUGGUUUAUGUUGAUGAUAUCCUGCUUAUGGGUAGCAACUCUAUUAUUCUUCAAAGACUAAUACAGUUACUAAUUUCAGAGUUUAAGCUUUGAGACUUAGAAGAUAUUCAUUACUUUUUUAGAAUUGAGGUUAAAUCCACCAGUAUGGGUCUGAUGCUAUGACAAAAUAAGUAUAUUCUUGACAUACUUACUUGAGUUGGUAUGACCUCUUGCAAAUCUGUUGAUACUCCUAUUUCUACCUUCAAAGUUACAGUGAUGCAUGAUUGCUUAUUUUUUGAUCCUACACAGUUUCAUCAAAUCAUUGGUGCUCUUCAAUACCUCACUUUUAUGAGACCAGACAUUUUCUUUGCUAUUAACAGAGCUGUCAGUUUAUGCAUGCUCCUACAGAUUCCCAUUAGGCUGCCUUUAAAUGCAUUAUGCAUUAUCUUCGGGGUAUAGUCUCUUAUGGCUUACAUAUCACUCGUAACUCCUUUUUUGCUUUACAUGGCCUUACAAAUGUAGACUAGGCGAGUAGUCUUGAUGAUCGCAAGUUUAUGGGUGGUUACCUUGUGUUCUCUGGUCAUACACCGAUUUCAUGGAAAUCAAGCAAGCAACGCACGACUGCUCGUUUUUCUACCGAGAUCGAGUAUAAAACCUUAGUAGACGACACUGUUGAGGUUAUCUGGCUUUAAUAUUUAUUGUUAGAUCUGCAGAUUAAUCAUACUUCUGCUCUUACCAUUUGGUGUGAUAAUCUCUAUGAUAUUUUUUUGUCUGCGAAUCCUAUCUUUCAUGCUCAUACAAAACAUGUUGACGUUAAUUAUCAUUUUGUACGUGACAGGGUUGCCAAUAAAGAGAUUCAGAUUCCUUUUAUCUCUUCUUAGGAUUAACUUCUAGAUGUCUUUACUAAGCCACUUCCUACUACUUCUUGUACUGCCUUUUCAGUAUGAAGAUAGAUAAAGGAAGAGAAUUGAGAAGAACUAACUAGCUCAAGCUUCGGGUCGAUCCUCCACCCUCAGCUUAAGGGAGCAUAUUAUAGACUAUAUAUAUCUAGGAAAUAUUAUUGGAUUAAUCUAAUACUGUAAUCUCUACAUUAACUAUUGUAUAUUGCCCUACAUGUAUAAAUAGGAAAGGUUGGCUAACUAAUAGGUUAAGUCUCUAAUUUCUCUUCAACUGGUAGUAUUCAUAUUUCACAUAAAAUCAUAAAAUCAUGGUUUUACCUGAUUUUAAGUGAAUUUAUUUAACAAUUUACUAAUUACCAAGGAAAUUUUAUUCUGAUGAUGGAUUAUCCAUUUUUUUUUAGUUUAAAACUGGUUUUAUAGUUUUUUCAGCAUAGGUAUCAAGAUUUUUAAGUCAGGAUCAUAGAUCUUUGAGACAAUUUCCAAAUUUUGAAUAAUGAUAGUGAGAAAGUGAGAGCAACUCUGCAGAUCUGUAUUAAUAAAUUCUCUUAUGGGUGGACAUUUCCCAUCCCAUUUGUCUCUACCACAAGUAAAUGAUGUACAAAAGUUUUGAAGCAAAUUAAUUCCUGCUCUGUGUUAUGAUAAAUUCAAGCCUGAAAUGAUGUCAAUAAAGGUAUCUUCUCGGCCAGGAAGUGUAAGACGGCCCAUCGGAUGAUUAUAUUCGAAUUCUUCUUCGGCUAUUCUUAGCAAUUCUUGGAAUGAAGGUUGAUUCAAGAAUGAAAUUGGAACAGUGAAUCUUUUCUUUUGGCUCUCUCCAACAUAGACCACAAAGAAGCCUUUAGGAACAUCGGUUGCUUGGUUAGCAAGCAAAUUUGACCGACGGAGAAUUUGCUUAGCAGUCAUGAUACCCUUAAGAAGGAUGGCCAUUGUGUGAUCUGUAUUAUUCUGCUAGAAAAAAGAUGAUCUUAGAGUAAUUUGGAGGAGGAUUUGCUUUUUAUGAGAGAACGUGAGGACUUGAUAUGGUUGUGGGGAGAUGCAUUUAUAUAUAUAGAUGGAUUUAGUACGUGGAAAAUCUAUGAAGUGUGGAUGAGAGGAGAAGCAACCUAAGUGGGGUUUGCUUAGAGACAUAAGCAGCAGAAGGAUCACAUGGUCCUGUCUUGCAACUCAUCAUCAAGAAAAUUAUAGUGAAUUAAAUCAGCAUACUUUGUUGGUACACAUUAUGGCUAAGCAGUUUUUGGAGAAAAAUAAAAACAAAAACAAAAUCUUGCUAGACAAGGCCUUGUGAAGAGCAUGUGAAGCCGGUGGCAAUGCCCCUUCCUUUCAGAACCUAACCCACAUUUCAGAAAUCUUGUUGGCGCUGCAGAUGAUUAAAUUAAUGCCGGUCAUUGACAAUAUAAUUGUUUCUAGCCAUCAACUAUCAUAAAAAAGAAAAAGAAAAAGAAAAAAGAAAUGUGGUUGCCACCAAGAGAGAAACUUUUUCCUGUAUGUUGACAGAAAGCAACAAUGCUAACCCCAGGAAGAUUUAUUUGGCCAAAUAUAUUGAGCCUUGUUGUGUAGUCAUUGUGGUACUGGCCAUAUGUAUUUAAGCAUGAACCUCUGAACAGUGUUAGAGAAAGACUAACCAAGGUUAAACAAACAUAAAUAAAAGAGGGCGUGAGAAGGGCAAGGCAGAGUUUAAACAAUCAAUGGCGACAUGGAAUUUUAUAGGUCAAACCAAAUAAAUAUUUGAUUUAAUAUUUUCGGGCCAUUUCUAUCAGUUACUGCAAUCAUCAUAUUCAUAACAUUCAAUGAUAUUGGAUUGAUGAAAUAGUUUUAUUAAGUUUUUUUAAAAGAAACUGAGGAAUCAAAGAAGGUUUCUCAUUUGUUGAAAUAGUUUGAUUCUAUAACAGAAAGUAUUUACAUCAAAUUGGCAAUUUAUGCCAUAAAAUGUUUUUCUAUCUGGUUAGUAUGAUUGCCUCUAUUUAUGAUCUGCUCAAGCUAGAAAGGACAUCAAUGAAUUUAUCUUCUCUGCAAGGAAUUGUCAAACCACCCAUUGGAUGAUUAAAACCAAACUCCUCUUCAGCUUUAGUAAGCAAAUCUUGAAAUGAAGGCUCAUUCAGAUAGGACACUGGAACUACAAAUCGCUUCUUCUCUCUUUCGCCAAUGUAGACAGCUAAGAAACCUUUCGGUACAUCUAAAGAUCUUGAAGCUGGUUUACUUGCAUUCCAUACAGAUCGGCGUAGAAUUUGUUUGGCUAGAGCAGCAGCCAGAUGUCUAGUCAUGGUGUUACUGUUGAUGUAUGUUUUCAGAAAAGAACUUGAGAGAGUCUGUCACUUAAGGAAAAAAUAUCAGUGGAGAAUAUUGUGAUGACUUGGUUGAGACACCAGAACGUAUCUAGGUAUAUAUAGAAGAAAUACCAAGAAUAAUAAAAAAAAAAUCCUUCAGCAAUUGGAGUGGCUAGAAAUCAUUUGCUAGGGUCUGCUAAGAACAUCUCACGAGGGAUCAUGCGACCUUGCCUUCUAAUUAAUCAACAACAAUAGGGUAGUGAUGAUUCAUCUCUCUCCUACUAUGUCUACACGUCUAAACACCAGAAUGCCCUACGACCACAUAGACAAGCCUGAUCGAGGUCAAGGCUAAAGAUUGUAAAUUGGAUGGUGGCACAUUAAAUGUUGACACAACGCCAAACUGACUUUUGGAACAGGGACAUAUGCUUGAGAGAAAUGUUCAGGACAUUCAAUGAAUGAAUGAUAUGUGUGGAAAUAAAGAUUAUAGAUGAGUUUCUAUUGGUUGAAUAUAGCGUGGGAGACAGUGAAAAAAGCAAUGGUUGUGACUUGUCAGGUACUAACUAUUAGUCCACAGCUUGUCUGAUAAUCGAAGGGUUAAUUGAUUUACCAAAUUUCAACCAAUUGUAUCCAGCAUAUACCUAAUCCGAGAUCACUUGGUUUUGCAUCUCAGUCAGCAUUAAAUACCCUUUUCCCGGUCCCUGUUUAGUUUUUGUGGAGGUCAUCUUGCUUCCAAACAACAUGUCGGAACAAUAUUGCGGUAUGAAUCACUAUCGGUCCCGGUAUUUCUUGACCAGUUGGAAGACCAGACCAUGUGAUGCUCUUAAGCUAUAUCAUGAGCAGACCCCAGCAAAUGAUUACUGUGCACUCACCAUAUUAUUUACAGGAUUUUGUACAAAUGUUUUUGGAAUAGUCUUGAAUUUUUCAAGAGAAAAUAAUACUGGAAUUAUAGCUUUUCUUUAACCUGAGCCUUACAGGUCUAUGAAAAAUUGAAAUAACAAUAAAGAAAUUGUUCUAAAGAAAUUGAAUAAAAAGAAUGAUACUGAAUUGAUAAAUCCUAAUCUAGAUUUCUGAGCAGUUUCGAGGUAGCCCGGGCCUCCUGGGUGAAUGAGAUUUACUUCAAAGUAAUUUCCUUCCUCUAGCUGUGCCUCCUUUCCCCCUUUUAUAGUGAUCUUUGCUUAAUUGAAAUACCAGAAUCGUAGAUAGCAUUGACAGCUAUUUUAUUGCUCAGUGUUGUAUUUGAAUUCUAUUUCUUCUCCCAAACGGUAUCGUAUUUGGACUCCUUCUAACUUAGAAGUCUUUUCCCAACAGUGCCGUAUGCCUCUAACUUACUCCCUUGCCAGCUGUCAGCCGCUGGUCUUUCUUCAUCUCAGCCCUCCACGUAAGUCCUUCUUCCCUUGAUCAUGACCAUACACUUAUUAUCUUUAAUUAUUUGCUGCAGGUGAGUCUUCUUCAAGAUGUCUCUUUCAUUUCGUCCCUGGCUUCGCUUGAUCGUGUUCUUUUAGGCGCAGCCGGACUGUUACAACUCCUUCCCUCUUUAAAAAACCUUGCCCUCAAGGUGAGGGUAAGACUCUUUUAACCAUUCUUCACCGAUCCAAACGGCGUCCUCCUUGGGCUGUCCUUCCCAUCUCAGCAGUACUUCUUCCAUUUUCUUCCCCUGUGAAGUCUGGCUCCUUCGGUCAAGAACCUCUGCUAGUUCUGGUUGAGGGUUCCUCCUGGUCUCGGGGGUGGGUAGCUUUGGUUCGGGGAUGGUUCCCUUUCCCACCCAUUUCUUCAACAGUGAUACAUGGAACGUGCUGUGGAUGCGGGCUUCUCUGGGGAGAUCUAAUUGGUAAGCUACCUCUUCGAUCUUCUUUAUAAUUUUGAAUGGCCCGAAAUACUUGUAUGCUAACUUCUCGUUUUUGUUUUUUGGCAUGCUGGACUGUCUGAACGGCUGGAGUCGGAGGUAAACCCAUUCCCCCUCUCUGAACUGGGUCUCUUUUCUGCCUUUAUCUGCUUGUUUCUUCUGUCUCUCCUGAGCUCUGGCUAGAUUGUGUUUUAUUUCUGCAAUUUGUUCUGUUCUAUUUUGUAACUGUUCCUCUGCUGCAUGGUUUUUUGCUGACCCGGGGAUAUAAUCUGUGAGACUUGGGGGUGGGUAACUGUAAACUGCUUCAAAGGGGGUAGAUUUAAGGGAUGUAUGGUAACUGGUGUUAUAGCAAUAUUCGGCCAUAGUCAACCAAUUAGACCAGCCCUUCGGGUUAUCUCCUACAUAGCACCUUAAAUAACCUUCCAAAGUUUUGUUAGUCGCCUCUGUCUGCCCGUCGGUUUGGGGGUGGUAGGAAGUUGACAUCAGUAGCUUAACCCCUUGGGUUUGGAAUAGCUCUCUCCAAAAAUUGCUAGUAAAUGUAGGAUCCCUGUCUGAUAUUAUACUGUCUGGUAGUCCAUGGAGUUUCAUUACCUGCUGUGAGAACAAAUUUGCAAUUUUUGUCGCGCUGUAGGGGUGGGAUACAGGGAUGAAAUGGGCAUAUUUGGUAAACCUAUCUACGACUACCAUGAUUACUGAGUAUUGGUUAGAUUUGGGCAGCCCUUCUAUAAAGUCCAUUGAUAUGAACGACCAUGGUCUGUGGGGUAUAGGUAAAGGUUGUAAGAGCCCUGAGGGUUUUGUGUUUUCUCCCUUUACUCUCUAGCAGACCUCACACUGUUUGAUAUAGGUUUGUAUCUCUGAUUUCAUUCCUAUCCAAAAAAAGUCUCUCCUGGCUCUUUUUAGUGUUCUUUCAAAGCCUGUGUGUCCUGAUGAGGGGCUGUCAUGUAUGUAAUUUAGGACGGCUGUUUUUAUAGGGCUGGAUUGGCUUAUGUAGACUCUCUGUUUGUAGUAUAGUAUCCCUCCCUUAAAUUGGUAUUUCAAUGAUCCUAUGGUUUCCUGGUCUAGUUGUUGCAUGAUAGCUUGAAUUUCUGGGUCAUUUUUAUAGCUAUCUUUUAUCUGAUCAGCCCAGUUAACAAUUAGAGUAGAGAUAGCCCAUAAUGUACCUUGUUGCCCAGUUAACAAUUGGAGUAGAGAUAGCCCAUAAUGUACCUUGUUCUGUGAUGUCCUCCUGUCGGGAGAGUGCAUCGGCUGCUAGGUUCUCUUUUCCUGCUCGAAACUCGACUAUGAAGUCAUAUCCAAUUAAUUUGGAUAGCCAUUUCUGCUGUGUGGGUGUUCCAACCCACUGCUCCAGUAGAUACUUGAGGCUUUGUUGAUCCGUCUUGAUUUUAAAGGCUUGGCCCAAAAGGUAGGGCCUCCAUUUCUGGACCGCAGUGACCAGUGCUAGGAACUCCUUCUCGUAGGUGGAUAGUGAGAGCUCCCUUCCUUUUAAACUUUUGCUGAAAUAGGAAAUGGGUCUGCCUCCUUGCAUUAAUACUGCUCCAAGUCCUGUACCUGAGGCAUCACACUCUAUUACAAAACUUUGGUUGAAAUCUGGUAGUGCUAGGACUGGGGGGGUUGAUACGACUUGUUUUAGUUUCUCAAAGGCUGUUUCUACUUCUGGAUCCCAUUUGAAAGCCCCUUUUUUCAAUAGUCUAGUUAAGGGACCAGCAAUUGCCCCAUAACCCUGGAUGAACCUCCGGUAGUAGCCUGUCAAUCCUAAGAAACCCCUUAGAGAUUUAAGUGUGGUUGGUCUAGGCCACUUGAUCAUUGACUCCACCUUGCUGGGGUCAGCAUGCACCCCCUGAUCGGACACGAUGUGUCCUAAAUAUUCAAUCUCCUUGCUUGCAAAUUUACAUUUGGACUGUUUGGCGAAUAAAUUAUGUUGUACCAGAGUCUCAAAUACCCUCCUUAGGUGUCUCUCAUGCUCUUCCACAUUGUGAUUAUAGACUAGGAUGUCGUCGAAGAAAACCAGAACGAAUUUUCUGAGAUAGGGUCAGAAAAUGUCGUUCAUCAGCCCUUGAAAAGUGGAUGGGGCGUUUGUGAGGCCGAAUGGCAUGACCAGAAACUCAUAGUGCCCUUCGUGAGUCCUAAAGGCCGUCUUAGGUACAUCUUCUUCCUUCAUUCUGAUUUGGUGAAAACCGGACCGCAGGUCCAACUUAGAAAAAAUCUGAGAACCAUGAAGCUCAUCCAGUAGCUCUUCCACAACUGGUAUGGGAAAUUUGUCUUUUACAGUUUCCUUAUUGAGGGCACGAUAGUCCACACACAUUCUCCAUGACCCGUCAGCCUUCCUAACUAAUAGGACAGGUGAUGAAAAGGGGCUUUGGCUGGGUCUUAUGGUACCCAUUGCCAACAAUUCCUUAAUGAGCUUUUCUAUCUCAGUUUUCUGGUAGUAAGGAUACCUAUAAGGAUGAACACUGAUUGGGGAGGUCCCCUCCUUUAAUACUAUAGAGUGAUCCUGUGAUCUACUGGGCGGUAUUCCCAUUGGUUUUUGAAAGACUUUCGCAAACUCUAGUAACAGAUUCUCAAUCUGUUCUGGAAUUUCAUUCUGGGUUGACCCGAGCUCCCAGAUUUGCAGAAUCAGGCCUUCCUCUGCUCUUCUUAAUUCUUUAAAAAAUGUUGGGCUGCAGUCGACCUCUGACUUUUCCACUCCCAUCCCGUAGAUUGGAACCUUCUUUCCUUCCUGUUGGAAUUCCAUUUUUAAGGCUGAGAAGUCCCAUAGAAUGGGCCCUAUACUUUUGAGCCACUGGAUUCCCAACACUAUAUCGCAUCCCCCCAGCUGAAUGAUAUAAGCUCGGGUGACAAACUGAUUCCUUAAAUCAGUAGUUUGAUAUCCGAGCAACUUCCCUCACUCCACAAUCAGGACCCAUCUGCAAUAUUCACUCCGAUAGGGUGGUGUUUCAGGACUUUCAUUCCCACCCUCCUUGCUACUCUGGGAUGUAUGAAAUUAUGUGUGCUUCCUGUAUCAAUUAAGGCUACAAAGUUAUGGCCACUCAGCUUAACUUCUACUCUCAUAGUUUUUGGAUUAGGACUUCCUAGGAUUGCAUGAAGGGAUAUGCCAAUUCCCUUCUGGCUGCCCUCCUGGGGAUCUCCCAAUUCUGUAAGAUCUUCAGGGACAUAAUCUUUUUCCUCCAUCUCCUCGUCUACUUCCUCUACUAAGAACAACCUUGGUCCUCCACACCUAUGGCCAGGACCCCAUUUACUAUCUCAUUUAAAGCAAAGCCCCUUGUCUUUUUUUUCCUUCAUCUAGGCAGGAGUGAGUCUUUGUAUCUGCACUGGUUUAUUUUCAGCUUUGGGCUGGAUCGGGGUUGGGCUUCGGUUUUGAAACCCUGUAGUGCUGGGCCUCCAAGACCUCCUCAUGAUGGACAGAUUCUCCUCUUGCAUCCUUGCUAGCCCAUAAGCAAACACUAGAUUCUAGGGGUUCAGCAUUCUGACUCCCAUUUUUAUCUCCUCCUUCAAUCCCCCUAGGAAACAGCUGAGCCUGUGGGAGUCUGAUAAUCCUCUGACUCGGUUCGAAAGUAAUUCAAAUUGGGUUUUGUAGAGCUCUACUGUAGAGGUUUGUUUGAUACUUAUGAGGGCUUCCAUGGGAUCAUCAUAAGAUGAUGUUCCGAAACGAAUUUGAAGGGCCUUGACAAAGGCCUCCCAACUGGUGAGAAUUCCGGUCUCCUCUAGUUCUUGGUACCAAGUUAUGGCUUUUCCUUCCAUAUGGAAGCUGGCUAUGAACAGCCUGUGUUGAGCAGGAGUGUUGUGGAAGUUAAAGAAUUGAUUAGCUUUGUAUACCCAACCAAUAAGGUCAUCCCCAUUAAAUUUGGGAAACUCUAAUCGGAUGGACUUGAGCUAGACUUGUUGAAUUCCUUCCUGUGGUAUUAUUUCAUGCCUUGGAUUUCCAUUAAUGGCUCCAGUGGGAGAGCUGGGAGGAGAGCCCAUGGGCCUUUUCCCUUUGGUCAUUUGAUCCAUUCUGGCAGACAUAUUUCUCAACUAUUGUACCAUGUCUUCCAAUAUUUGUUGUUGAUUCUGCUGGUUUUCUUGCUGUAACUUUUGUUGUUGUUUCAUCCCUGACAUAGUUUCUAUUAGUUGUGAAACUCUUGUUCCUUCAGCCAUCCGAGAAUCGUGGCUCUGAUACCACUUGGAAUAGUCUUGAAUUUUUCAAGAGAAAAUAAUACUGGAAUUAUAGCUUUUCUUUAACCUGAGCCUUACAGGUCUAUGAAAAAUUGAAAUAACAAUAAAGAAAUUGUUCUAAAGAAACUGAAUAAAAAGAAUGAUACUGAAUUGAUAAAUCCUAAUCUAGAUUUCUGAGCAGUUUCGAGGUAGCCCGGGCCUCCUGGGUGAAUGAGAUUUACUUCAAAGUAAUUUCCUUCCUCUAGCUGCGCCUCUUUCCCCCCUUUUAUAGUGAUCUUUGCUUAAUUGAAAUACCAGAAUCGUAGAUAGCAUUGACAACUAUUUUAUUGCUCAGUGUUGUAUUUGAAUUCUAUUUCUUCUCCCAAACGGUAUCGUAUUUGGACUCCUUCUAACUUAGAAGUCUUUUCCCAACAGUGUCGUAUGCCUCUAACUUACUCCCUUGCCAGCUGUCAGCCGCUGGUCUUUCUUCAUCUCAGCCCUCCACGUAAGUCCUUCUUCCCUUGAUCAUGACCAUACACUUAUUAUCUUUAAUUCUUUGCUGCAGGUGAGUCUUCUUCAAGACGUCUCUUUCAUUUCGUCCCUGGCUUCGCUUGAUCGUGUUUUUUUAGGCGCAGUCGGACUGUUACAGUUUUCCUCUAUAUAUACCAGCACAUUUUAUCACAACAGCCCAAGCAUUUGCAUUGUAUAUUGAUAUCAAUUCCCUAGCUCUUAUAUAGUUACGUUUCGCCUACUGUUAUUAUAAGUAAAAAACUAUUCAAGCGGAAUGCUUUUCUGUAUUGAUUAAGUUCAAUAUAUAUACAAGAUACAUUAGGGUUCCCUUAUAAAUCAGCGACUGAUAAGGAAUGACAACUAAUUCAAUGUAGAUUGAUACAAAAUAUUCUUACGUAUCUUUCCUACUCAUAUCAAGAUAUAGCUUUUCUAUUUACAUCAAAGCACUAUUAAUAGAAUUUCCAACACUCCCCCUCAAGUUGGAGAGUGAAUAUCAAUAACUCUCAACUUGCACAUGAGCUGUUUGAACUUCUCCUUUCCCAAAGCUUUUGUAAACACAUCUGCUAAUUGUUGUGAAGAAAUCACGUAUCAAGUAGCAAUUUCACCUCGUAAAAUUUUGUCCUGAAUAAAAUGGCAAUCCAUUUCAAUACGCUGAGUUCUCUUAUGAAACACAAGAUUUUUUUGCAAUGUGUAAGGCAACUUUAUUAUCACAAUGAAGAGUAAUAGGAUUUGAAACUGGCAUAAGUAAAUAUGUUACUAAAUGUCUUAACAAAGUAAGCUCACAACAUGUACAUGCCAUUGCUCUAUAUUUUGCUUCCACACUUGAUAAGGAAACUGUCUUUUGCCUUUUGGUUCUUCAUGAAAUUAAAUAAUUUCCAAGGAAUACACAAUACCCAAUAGUGGAGCGGCGAGUGAUAGGACAACCCGCCCAAUCAGAGUCAUAAAAUGCCCUUAAGUGUAAUGAGUUAUUUGAAUGAAGAAGCAAACCUUGACCAGGAACAGAUUUUAAAUAACAAACAACUCGAAGAGCAGCAGCCAUGUGAGGUUGACGUGGUUCAUGCAUGAAUCGGUUGAGAAUGUGAAUUGAAUAUGUGAUAUUCGGUCUAGUGAUGGUUAAGUAAAUUAAUCGACCAACUAGACACUGGUAUAGACAAGGGUCUUUGAGCAAUUCUCCUGUAUUUGAAAGUCUGCAUUCUUCCAUAGGAAACUCAACUAGUUUGGCACCCAAGUAUGCACUGUCUUUGAUAAUUUCCAAAGCAUAUUUGCGCUGGGAAAUGUAAAUGCCUUUCUUGGAACGGGCUAUUUCAAUGCCUAAGAAGAAUUUCAGAUCACCAAGGUCUUGGAUGCGGAAACGAGUGUGGAGGAAUUGCUUUAAACCUUUAAUGGAUUCAAUGUUGUUCCCAGUUAUCAAAAUGUCAUCCACAUAGGUUAAUAGGAUAGUAAGAGAUGUGUCAUCUCUUUUGGUGAACAAGGAAAAGUCAGCUUUUGACUGACAAUAACUAGUAGCAAGAACAACUUCUGUGAACUUAGAGAACCACUAUUGAGACGCUUGCUUAAGGUCGUAUAGUGACUUGUGGAGGCGACACUCAAUGUUCUCCCCCUGUUGCCGAAGACCAGGAGGAGGAGACAUAUAUUUCUUCCAAUAAAUCACCAUUUAAGAAAGCAUUGUUAAUGUCUAGUUGAUGUAAGGACCGGUUCAGACUGGCAGCAAUAGCAAGGAGGCAAUGGAUAGUGACCAUUUUUGCAAUGGGGGAAAAAGUAUCAUGAUAAUCAAUUACAGUAGUUUGUGUGAAACCCUGAGCGACCAGGCGAGCUUUAUAGCGCUCAACAGAUCCGUCAACCUUGCAUUUGAUGCGAUACACCCAUUUACAACUGAUCGGGCAUUUGCUAGGGGGCAAAGGAAUGAGGCUCCAUGUCUGAUUGUCAAUGAGAACUUGAAGCUCAAAAUUCAUAGCUUCCUGCCACUUAGGAUCAGUCAUAGCAAGUUCAUAUGAAGGAGGUUCCUCAUCACGACUAACAUUGGUAAUAUAACAGAGAUGUGAUGGAGAAUACCGAUUAUAAGAAUUGAAAUGACAGAGAGGAUAUUUUGUACCUAGUGUAGGUGCAGACGAGGCCAAGAACAAUUGGUGUGGAGGCAGAAUCACCUGCGAGCAAACAUAAUCCUUGAGGCGGACGUUGGCUUCUCGAGGGUGUUGAGAGUGGUGAAGUGGCUGAUCAUGUAUAACCAGAGUAGGUUUAGGAAAGACAGGGUCAUUCAGCUGAAUAGGGGUUUGCUGUGCAGCUGGUGGAGUUAAUGGAGUAGAGGAAGGUGGCUCAGGAAGAGAAGAUACUGAGUCGGUUGGUGCAGGUGAAGAGGAUAUGGGGGGAUCGAAGGGGUCAAUGAUGACUGAUGCGGGAGGAAGAUGGGAAUAAGAAUCGGACACAAUAGGAAGAGGAAUGGGCAAGGCUGGUGGAUUGUGUGUUAUAGGAUUGGCCUGUGAUGGAUGAUAAAAAGUGUCCUCAAGAAAUACCACAUCCCGAUUGGUGAAAAUUUUAUGAGUUGCAAUAUUGUAAAGUUUGUAAGCCUUUUGUCCCAUAGGGUAACCAAGAAAAAUGCAUUUUGUGGCACGGGGAGAAAAGUUUGAGGAUGGAUUGACUAUGUUUUCAAAAGCAACAAAUCCAAAAACUCGCAUGCAAGAAUAAUCAGGAAGUUUGUUGUAAAGAAUCUCAAAGGGUGUUUUUUUUUGUGAAGCAACAGAGUAGGAAGGCGAUUAAUAAUAUGGACAACAAUAAGAAUACGUUCUCCCUGGAAAGUAAUGGGUAAAUGAGAUUGAAAACAUAGAGAGCAAGCAGUUUCAAGGAUGUGUCUAUGUUUGCGCUCAACGACACCAUUUUGCUGAGGUGUAUAUACACAAGAGUGUUGAAAAAGAACGCCUUCUUCAAGGAAAAAAAAAUUUAAUGAAAUAAAUUCAUCCCCAUUAUCAGAACGAAGUUUUUGAACCUUUGUAUUGAAUUGAGUGUGAACAUAAUGAAAGAACUGACGAAGUAGAGUUUGUAUCUCACUCUUGUUACGCAUUAAAAAAACCCAUGUAAAACGAGAAAAAUCGUCCAUAAUGGUCAAGAAAUAAAAAGCACCAGAAAUAGAAGGGGUUUUACAACAACCCCAAAUAUCACAAUGAAUAAGAGAAAAACACUUCGAAGUUGAAAUUGAACUAGAAGGAAAAGGUUGAUGAGUUUGUUUUGCCAAUGGACAAACGUCACAUUUAUGACUGGAAUCAAAAUUAAAUUUAAGCGAAUUAUCAGCUAAAAAUUAUAAACGAUUAGAAGAAGGGUGUCCCAAUCAGCGAUGCCAAAUAUCAGAUGAGAUAAUCAAAUUGCAAGCAAAACGGGUAGAAGGAGGAGUUGAAGCCAACACCACAAGAUAAUACAGGUCAUCGCGUCGCUUAAAUCAUCGGUUGUCUUGCCAACAGACAUAAGAUCAACUUUAAAGCUUGGCACAUAGAGGACGUUAUUCAAUUGAAAAGAAUUCUUAAAUUGAAUUGAGCUAGUCACAUUAAUUUUAGCCACGUCUCCACUAGGUAAGGAAACAUGUGCCAAAUACAUAUUCUUGUCGACAUGCUUUAAUGAUGUAGGAGAAGAAGUAAUAUGAUGGGUUGCCCCACUGUCAAGUAUCUAGCGAUUGUGAGCAACCGGUAAUAAACCUGAUGUAUGUUUGAAGGUUGAGGCAGCAACAACAUUAACCUGUGGAUUGAUAGGCUUGGUGGUCAAGACACUGAGUAUCUGAACAUAUUGAUCCUCGGUUAAGUUGGGUAGAGAGACCUGGAGUUCCUGAAAAGUGGGAUUAAAAUCCACUUGAUUUGCAGAGGGGUUACCAGAUGCAGAGUGUGAGUUAUGCUUGUCGUAGCCUUGGUGCUGGUGUGGUGCCUUUUCUUUACUUUUUGGAUGACCAGGAGGGUAGCCAAUCAAUUUGUAACAGGUUGCUUUCCUGUGAUACAUAUCACCACAGUAAGUGCACUGAAAAGGCUCUUUAUUACGUGAAUUAUUUGAUUGAUUCCCAUGAAUUUGAUUAUUUUGUCGACCCUUAGACAUGUUGAAAUCGCCACGUAUAGCCAUGGCUGUUGUAUUUCAUGGUAUGGUGACAACAACCCCCAACUCUCGUUGUUUUUCUUCCUGCACAAUAGAGGCAUAAGCUUGAAGAACCGAUGGUAAAGGGUUCGUCAGUAAAAUCCGACCUCUUGCACCUGAAUAUGACUUGUUAGGUCCCAUGAGAAACUGUCAGUUUAUGCAUACUCAUAUAGACUCUCAUUGGGUCACUGUUAAGUAUAUUUUACGCUACCUUAAAGGUACGACAUCUUACGGCUUCCAUAUCACUCGCAAUUCCUCUUUCUCUCUCCAUGGUUUUACAAAUGCAGAUUGGGCUGGUAGUAUUGAUGAUCACAAGUAUAUGGGUGGCUAUCUUGUUUUUCAAAUGCAAAUCCGGCAAGCAACGCACAGUUGCUCGCUCCUCUACUGAGGCUGAGUAUAAAGCUUUAGCAGAUGAUACUGCUAAGGUCAUUUGUCCUCCGUCUUUGCUUCUACCAUUUGGUGUUGUCGCACCUAACAUCGCGACGACCUUAAAAAUUAUUAAAUCUUUGGAAAGAACGGAUUUCUAGCAUCCUAUUCUUUAAUGGGGAAUGGUCUUUGUUUAAGGGGUUGCCACCUAGUAUUAUGGUUACUAGGAACCAUAAUACUGCUAAGGUCAUUUGUCUUCAAUAUUUGUUAAUAGAUCUGCAGGUUCCCUCCGUCUUUGCUUCUACCAUUUGGUGCUGUCGCACCUGACAUCGCGACGGCCUUAAAAAUUAUUAAAUCUUUGGAAAGAACGGAUUUCUAGCAUCCUAUUCUUUAAUGAGAAAUGGUCUUUGUUUAUGGAGUCGCCACCUAGUAUUAUGGUUACUAGGAACCCUAACUAGUCAACAGAGAUUCUAUGGUCCAAUACUGAUUACAUAAAAAGGAAGAUAUUAUCACCCCUUAAACGUCCUGCCUAAGACAGACUGCAUUGCUGAUUUUUGUCAUUAAUUGCUAACAUUUUUUUUGUUGGUUUAUAAUAUGAUUGUUUGCAUGUAAUAUUCCUGACGCUGGCGCCAGAAAAUAUUCAACUACGGAUAUUUCCAACUCUGGCCUGGCCUAGGUCACUAGCCCAAGCCAGUGACCCGACUGAAAAAAAAAAUAGAUGCACGCGUGAAACAAUUUCACGCGUGCAUUAAUAGUGCGAAGGUAAAUUAAAUUACCUUUGCACUGUUCAAACGUUAUUUGAACACUGAAGAGCAAAAAGUUGGAAACGGGCGCACCUGUUUAUGGCGAUUGAAGAAGGCUGCAGCGCUGGUGUGGCUACUUUGAUUCGGCCGCUUUCCACUCUUUCCCCAGGUAUGCCCGCUGUCCCGUUUUUUAUUUCUCAGUUCUUGAGAUGAAGGACUUCUGUUUCUCUCUUGAUUGUGUUCUGUCGUUUCCAGAUGAAGACCAGCGGACAAUGGUGAUGCUGGUUGUCAAUAAUCUUUGGUUCGAUGGCAUUUUCGUUUUUUUGCAGGGACGAAGAUAAUGGCAGGGCUGAUCUGUGACUCUCGUCUGUCUUUCUCUCCUUUUCUGUAAUUUUUUUUUGUGGAUGCUCUGUUUCUGUGGUGUGAGUUUUUUGUGUUUUUUUGGUUUUUUUUCGGCUGUGUUUUCUUGUUAUUAGCUCUGUUUUUCUAGCUUGAUUUCUUCUUCCUUGUUCUGGGUUUUUCAUCCCCUUUUAUAAAGAUCCAGCCGCUAACCAAUCCUGCCUUUGCAGGACUGUUAUCUUCCACGAACGAGAUCGUGGGCGAGAGCCGUGAUCCACGAUUGGAUCAAAUCCGUUGCAGAAUUUCAGCCUGUUGAAUCGGGAUGGAGAAGACGAACACGACUGUUCCACCAGCAACGACGACGUACGUUUCGGCAACACUAGAUUCCCAGUAUCAACAGCACCGUUUCGGCAACAGUGGUGUUGUAACCCAUUUUCGGGUCCCCAUAAAAAUAAAUAAAAUAAAUAGCCAAAGGAGGUUAGAAAAAUAACUGGAGGCAGAAGCGCUCAGCAAAUGGUCAGAAAAAUCGGUCAAGGAGGUUAAAAAUACAAAGAUGGAUUUUUGACAAUAUAUUCUUGAAUGAUGAGAGCCCUGUUGGAUAAGAAAAUUGGAAAUUUGAGGAGAAAAGUCCAAAUUUGGAUCUUUAUGGACUUAAUUGGAUUUUUAUUUGAAUUUAUAGAGGAUUUGAUUGCAAGAAAAAUCGAAUUUUAAGUCAAUUUGGGCUUUAAUUAGAAGAAAUUUAAGUUCUGGGGCCAAAAUAUAUUUUUUAGGAAUUUAUUGGGUCAAAUCAGGGGCUUAAUUGCAUAAAUAUUGAAGUUUAAUGGCCAAUUAGGGGUUUAAUUGUGAAAAACCGAAACCAGGGACCAAUUUGGAAAAAGUGGGUAAAUAGAGGGGGCUGUUUUGAAUUGGUUCAGGGGCCUAAUUGAAGAAAUUGGAAGUUUAUUGAUCAAUUAAGGGCUAAAUUGCAUAAAUCAGAGGCCAAGGACCAAAGUGAAAAACGCGGCCAACUAUGGGGGCGGAGAUCGAAAUUGGCAGGGAUGCAAUUGAAAUGAAUUAAAGAUGAUUGAGGGCUGAUUUGAAGUUUGGCGUGUUUUGGCGCCCUGUUUUAAUGAAACGACGCAUUUUGUCCAAAACGACGCCGUUUCAUGUUAAAAUUAAAAAAAGAAAAAAAAAGAAGACCAGAACGGUGUCGUUUUGAACGACACUGUUCAUCUUCCUUCUUCCCCCCGAACCUACAACAGAAGGAAGGAAACUUUGUUUUUGAAAAUCUUCACGCCCCUCUCUCCCCUGCAUCUCCACCAAACAGCCCGAAGCCCCACACCGUGGGAUCACCAACCGAAGUCAUUGGCCAACCACCGGCCGAAAGUAAAGGAACGACGCCUUGUUGUCGCGUGUGGUGGCCGACCAGCCACCGCGAAACCCGCUCCCAGGCGCAUUAAUAACGGUCCCAACGCCUUUUCUCUCCUAUAAAAAGAGAACAAAAAGAAAAAGAGAGGGGAGGAAAACCGAAAGAGAAGGAGACCGAAGAGAGAGAGAACCGGAGGGAGGAGAGAGAGAGGAGAAGAGAAAUAACGAAUGAAAGAGAGGGGAGAACAGAAACAAACCGAAAACAAGGAAACCGAAACCGAAAACAGAGGGAAAUAACUGAGGAGGAGGAAAAAAAGAAAGAAAAACCGAGACAAAAGGAGAGAGAGAGAGACCGAAGGAGAGAGAAACCACCGAACUUAAGAAACAGCCACCGAAAACCCAAAGUUGAGAAGCUUGGGAUAGUUGAAACUGAGAGAGAACUCAAGAAACCGAAACAGAAGUAACGAAUCGGGUGAACGACGACGAACCGUUGGAAACAGCCGUAGCGCCGCCUGGAGCCGCCGUCCGUGAGCCAAGACACCGCCACCGGCCACCACCACAGCAUCACCAGCAAGGAACUCCGGCCGCAGCAUUGCCUCCGCCGCGCCAGGUGCCUUUUCUUCUCCCUAGUAGCGUUGGAUUUCGUUUGUUUCCUGCAUGCAGAAUGCAUGCAGGAGAAGGGGAAGGGGGGAAAAUAAUUCCCCCCUCCCCCGGUUAAUUUCGUCUGGGCUAGUCCGGGCCCAGACUAAAGAAAAAUUUUGUUUUGGGCCGAGAUCGGCCUGCCUUUUUUUGUUUGUUUAGUUUGAGCCCGGCCCAUUUAUUUAGGUCGGCCCAGCACGAAUUGUUUUUUAUUGUAUAUUAUAAAUUAUAAUAUAUUAUAAUAUAUAUGUGAGUGUAUAUAUAUUAUAUAUAUAUAUAUAUAUAUUUUUUAAAAAAAAUAUAUAUUUUGAAAAAUCUUUAAAAAAAUAUUGUUGAUUUUCCUGCAUAUUUUUGUCAAAAUGGUUUAAUGUUGGUUUGUAUUUUUAUACCGUAAAGAUACAAAACCAGUGUUAAAAACAUCAAAGAUUUUCAGAAUAAAAAAUGUUUUUGCUUUCAAAAAAUUUCUAAAAAGUCCCUAAAAAUGUUGUUGAUUUUUCUGCAUAUUUUUGUUAAAGUGGAUUAAUAUUGGGUUGUAUUUUUAUACCAUAAGGAUACAAACUCAAUAUUAAAAUACCCGAUUUUCGUCAAAGCAUAAAAAAAAUAUAUAUUUUUUUUAAAUUUGUUUUUUUGUUUUAAAAUACGGCCUAGUCUCUCCAAUAUAUAUAUAUAAAUAUUAUAACAUCGUAUUUUCGCACAACAAAGGAAAUUUUCAAAAUAAUAUUUAUUAGCAUGUAUUUUGGCUUCAAUAACCAGUUUAUUCAAGCUAUGAGAACUAGGCCAAUAUUUCAAAAAUUCUAAAAAAAUAUUUUUUUGUUUUCUUUUAGUAUUUGGGAUUACGAAUUUAUAUGUAAAAUGUAUUCCUAAAUAUUAUUAAUAAAGUUUUAGUAUAAACGUUAGAACGGUUAGGAUUUUACCCGAUAAGAUAAAGACCUCCUUACCGAGGAGGACUUUUCUUGAACCAUACACAGACCAACAACUAGAAGUCCAAAAACACCUUAGUUUUUAUCAGAAAAUAAAACAAUGCAGCUUACCUUAGGUAAGGCGUAUUUGGGGUGCUAAUACCUUCUCUUUACGCAACCAGUCCCCGUACCCGAUCUCUGAGACCAGUUAGGGUUCCUAGUGACCAAAAUACUAGGUUGCGACUCCCAUUCCAUUUUCUACCAAUAAAAGACAAUAUUCUCUUGUCUCCCCAUAUUUUCCAAAUAGAUAUACAUAGAUUUACAUUGUAGAUAAGAAAAUGGAAAAACUUGUUAUUUUCGCCGCGACGCCGCACACGUGCGACAAGUGGCAUUUUCAUUUUGACCCCUGAACUUUGGAAUUGUAACCGUUGGAUCUCAAUUAAAUAAAAAUUCCUUUUAAUUUUGCCCUUUUUUGGAUAAACUUCAAUUAAAUCCCUAAAUUGGUGCACUAUUUACAAAACAGUCCUUAAUUCCUGGAUUAUUCAAUUUGGUCCUUAAUUAAUUCUUUAAAUUUUUCCCUUUUUGGAUAAAUUUCAAUUAAGUCCCUGAAUUUAUUUAAUUAAUUAAAUCAAAGUUUUAUUAAGUCCGCAAACUUAUUAAUUCUUCUAAUUUCAUUAAUUAAACUAAUCCAAAUUUUAAGUAAAUUUCCAAACUUAUUAAUUCUUUAAUUUCUAACCAAUUUAUUCUCAAAUCUGAUAAUUUUAUCCCUAAACUUCAAAAUUUGUUGUCUUAACACCAUUGUCAACUAUAUUUAAUUUUUAUUAUUUGUUAAAAAAUUGGGUUAUGACAGGUGUGAUAACAUUGGCCUAACCUAUCUCUCUGUGAAUCCUAUUUUCCAUGCUCGUACUGAGGUAGAUAAACACUUUUUCUAUGACCAGGUUGCGUAGAAAGAGAUUUAGAUUCAUUUUAUCUCCUCUCAAGAUCAACUUGCCGAUGUCUUCACCAAAACGCUUUCUGCUACAUCUUUUACUGCUUUUUGAUUCAAGCUUCAGGUCGAUCCUCCACCCUCAACUUGAGAGGGCAUAUUAUAUAAUGUAUAACAUGUAUAUAUCUUAAUGGGAAAUUAAUGUAGGAUUAUUCCAAUGUUGUAAUCCCUGCAGUUACUGAUGUGUUCUGCCACAUAUAUAUAAAUAGGAAAGGUUGGCUAAGGCACAACCAAGCCAUUCUAUUUUUCUCAACUGAGGACUAGAGUUAUGGGUUUUUGAGGAGCACGUUGAGUUUUAAGGAUUUGCAAUUUUGAAAGACCAACAAAUCAGGAUUUUGAAAUCCUGAUCAACCAGUCUGUUUGUUUGAACCAAUUGACUAAUUGGCCUAAUGGUAUCGGUUGAGUGAUUGGUCAGUUUUGGUUGACCAAUUGACCAAGUAGUGGGAGUUAAUUGGUUCUUUUCAGUUUGGGUAAUUUGGGAAAUGUUUGGGAUUGAUUAGGUGGAUUUGUUUUGGUUUUAUAAUUACAUUUUGGUCUCUAAUCUUAGAAUUAUAAUCUUUUAUGUUAUCUACUUCGAGUUGUUUUUGAGUAUUUUCUCUACUCGUUAUAGGUUCUGUUGAUAUUCUCCCUAGCAAUCUUUAGUAAUCCCCAAUUUUACAUUUGUUUGUCUCUUGCUUCUGUUUUCCAGGUGAGUGGGAUAAUUUUAAUAUGCAUGUAACAUAAAUAAUAUAUGUAUGUUGAUUAUAUGAUGAGUACAAAUGACAUUCUUGAAUAUUUAUAUAAGUUGAUUUAUUUUUCAAGUACAAAUUUGUAUUCACAUUCUAUUGAUUUAAUUCUAUACGGUAUAUUAUUCGUUUGCUUUGAUAUAUAUGCGAAUAUUUGUUAUGUCUGGAUAUCAGGAUACCUGUAAAAAAUUUCAUACUAACAGAGAAUGAUUAGUCUAUAUGCACUUAGUAGUUUGUAUACCUAGUUAGUGAGAGAGACAUCAGACUGUGAUGAUUAAUUGUCCUAUAGUUAUCGAGGUUGAUAUAUAUAUGUUUCAGUUCUUAUAUUUUUUAUUAUAUCAUAAUUUAUGGUCUAUAACUUAUAAAUAUCUAUAAUGUAUAUUAAAUGAUAUUUAUUCACCGAGUUGGUUAAACUCACCCCUUUAUUCUAAGAUUAUUUUCUGGUUCUUAGUUUCUGUUAGCAGGUUGAUUUUUAGAUGAGAGUUCCUCCUACUUCAUUUACUGGUAUGCAUUGUUUGCUUUCACGAGGCUUUUCUUCUUUUUUUUUUUUUUAUUAAUUUGAUGUCUUAGUCACUUCAAUAUUACGCUGCUUUUAUUCAAGUUUGAAUUUUUAUUUCAAAGAUUGAAAUUUAUUUAAUGCAAUAAUACUUAUUAUGAAUUUUUAUUUUGUUUCUAUUUAAUGAUGAGAAAUUUUGAUGUUUUUAUCUAAAAAGAAACAUGACAGAGAGCGCUUCAAUUUGCCAUUAGUGCAGUUUUGUCUAGCUAGUAGGCAUUGCCGAUUCAAUCUGAAUAUAUUUUGUACUAAUAUAAAAAAGAUUGAUGAUAAAAAUCAUUUCAUGUGAACUGUUAUUGUUGGGGAAUCCGACUGGUGAUGUAUUGAUAGUUGCCCAUUGGAGACUAAGCACACUGACACAAUAUUUAAUGUGGUUUGGCAAACCGCCUACAUCUACGGGAGAAGAGCCACUAUUAUUAGAGAUAUAGAGAAAGGGUUACAACACACAUGGAGGAGGAUGAUCACUUCUCUCAAACUCUACUCCCAUUGCUCUCAUACACUACUGCACAUGGCAAUAGGGCUGCUACCCUUGGCAACCACUCCUCUUUCUCUCUUCCUCUUUUCUUCACACUCUCAUUUACUCUCUUUUUCUCUCAAAUAAUACCUCUAUUUAUAGGCAUCAAUGGUAAGACAAGAGGCCAUCAAUUAUGGAAAACAUGGUGGCAGCACAUGGGGUGCACCAUUUUUGUCAAAUGGUUGGUGCAACUUCCAUUGUAGCCUUUUAACAAUGACAACCCUACUUCUUAGAGUAGGUGCACAUGUUGUUGCCCAUUAUUGGCAAUAUCCAACAAUCACCCUCUUUGACAUUUAUAUGGGCAGUUGUCCUCUUGCUUCUUCAGCACAAGCUUGCAUCCCGCAGCUCUUCCAAACUUACCAUUCUGAGAGCGUCUGUGGCCAAUUUUACAAGUACUCGCGAAACCUUUCAAUCACCAGAGUCACCAAAGCACACAUUUUUCUCACACCAAAGGAUCACUUCAACCAGAUGGUCUCCCACAUCACAUCUGAAUAGUGUUAACGUUUUUCUCUGGGACACAACAUUUCCUUUCGAGCGUAUCAACCAUGCUCGGUCCAGAAUGAUUUUUCAAGCCUCACACCAAGGCUUACAACACCCCCUCAAAUGGAUAUUCCCAAGUGCGAUAGUCAUUGAGUAUUUCAAUGUGAUCACAAGCUCCCCACUCUUCCAAGAGUCUACUCAUCUAGGAGUUGUGUCUGCCCUCAGUUCCACCUUAGAAACCACGCCUUACUUCUCCGUGAGUCUUCUGCUCUUACUCUCAAGAGUCUAGGUAGCUCUCCACCUUUAACCAUAGGGGCAACCCAUUAAAGGUUAAUCCAUAUUUGUCUUCAUACUCUGAGUAUUACAAUGCCAUUACCGAGCUCACCGCCUUGACAAGAGUCAACUUGUUCCAGGAACCUGUGCAUGCCCUUUGCUCAUUCCUAGUUGUCGCGUCUUAAUGCUCCACAAGUCACCCACUUAUUGUCCAAGGAAAAUGUCUUCUAGCUCAUUGAUCUUUAGCAUGGGGGCAUUAUCCAUCAAAGUCAAUUUAGCAUUUAUCUUCAUACUCAUCAUAACCACUUCAUUGGCUAUCCAUACACUUGUCAACUCAUAUCUAGCCAUCACAUCGGCUAUGAGGUUGUACUUGGGCUCAUAUCAUGGCCCUCACACCUUCUCUAAGGUAUCUUCGCCCGUUGUCAUGAGACGGUCACAUCCUCUUUCAGCUGGGAUGACUCCAGUGACUCCAAGAUUUUGUACCACCAUGUGGACUUAGGAGAGAUUACUGCCACUGACUAUAUAGAAAGAGAGAGUUGCGGUACACUCCUCGCAAUCCUUCACCUCGAUUUCUAUGUUUGGAGCUUCUACACCUUUCUGCUUGAUAACUCCACCUACACUAACUCUCUUUGGUGUCUUUGCCUUUCAUCAUAGGCGAUCACCUUUUGUCACAGGCGUUUGCACCCCCUCAAUUAACUGCCUCCACAACAACUCUCUUUCCAUCCUUGCAUGCAUUGGAAAGGUCUUCACCUAUUGUCUUCAUGAAGAGCACAAGAGACUUUAUGUUGUACAACUUUUAACAUAGUGUCUACUCUGAGCUUCAUUUGGGAACUCUUAUUCUCUUUGUACCUAUUGUCUCAUUACAGUACCUCAUUAGAUCCUAUGGGUACUCCUGCACAAUCUCCGUGUGCCCUCGUCCAAUUUAUGUUCUCCAGAUUUCUUCUUAUUCUUUGCUUUUAUAUUUGACAGUAGCUUAUUUUGUCACAACACCUACCAAGUCAAAAUAGAGUGCCAAUCUUUAUCCCCUUGUUGUAUUUCUCUUCCAUUAUUAGGGUCUUCAUCAAUUCUCCCCUCGAGAAAUUACAGUCACCGAAUCUAACUUCUUUAGAGAAAUCACAACUCCAUCAGAUCCUUGAUCAUAUGGAACCCAACUGUUUCCCUUGUGUCGUCAUCCUGCUAGUCUUCACCAGUUUUAUUACAAACUAUUACAUAUACAAAAAUAGUACCAUAUGGAUAAUCUUUCAACUAAGCAAGUUCCCAGGAAAGAUUGGAGGGGUCACAAUUAUCCUACUUAAAACCCAGUCUCCUAGCCAGAACUUCUUAGGCCAUAUCUAUCCACCGUAUUGCUUUUCCGUAUAUACAACCAUUUGCUAGCUUUGUUGCGGCUUUCUUUUACAAGUGAUCUGGAAUAUUUUUGUUUUAUACAUGAUUUCUCAACAUCUAUCGAAACUACUACUGCUUAGAUUUGUCAAGAUUGGUCUUCAUCAGUUUCACUCUCCACCUUAAAUCGUCCACAUGAUCGGGUGUCCAGAGUAUUCCAAUUUUGCCUUCCCUCAAGGCAAUUAAAAUUUCCCCACUUAACAGUUCAGCACAUGUAAUUGGGUAAACAUGUGCACUUCUUCUUCUUCAUCUCCAUCGACCACCAUGAUGACCUUCAGAUGCUUCCUUAUUGGGCAAUCUCUCUUUAAUAAUUCACCAUUGUCGCACCCCAAAAAAAUUCUGGAAUCUGGCAGAUGCUGGUCGACAAACUUAAAUGGCAGGGGAAUGUCCCAUCUUAGCAAAGAUAUUUGAGCAAUUGAUGCUACCGUGAGACCUGGCUAUACCCCAUAAUUAAGGGCUCACACCGUCAAAGUCAUCUCCUGAUUCACCUCUCAUCAUUGUUCUAGAAUCCAUGGCAGAUCCUUCAAUCUUUCUUCUCUUCAUAGCUUGUUCAAUUGUUCGGCAAACCCUCACAACAUUAUUUCAAUCUUCCAAUGUUGCUAUGGUUGGUUGAGGAUUGUUAGAAAACUUUCUAACAGCUUGGUAAUCUUGGCAGCACCCAGAAACUUGUAGUAUCGCCCCUACCGACGUGUGGAAUCACACGUUGUCUCUAUUGGAAGAGCACCUGAUGAAUCUAAAAACUCCUUUGGCCCCUCUUCGAUUUCUCACUGACAGUGCAGCAAACAAACACUUAUAGAGGAAGUCCUGCUCUGUUGAAGUUUCAGUAUUCUUCAUGUUUUUCAGUCUAGGCAUGUCUCUUCUCUCUACUUUUGCGUUUUAAUACUGACACUGUUGGAGGAAAAUCAUAGAUGACCUGAAACUACUGUAUUCCUUCUUGGGCUUCCCACUGGCGGAUCCACAAACAGAUUCCUGCUGAGUGAGCUCUGCUACAUUGAAGUUUGAUGUCUGCUCAUAUUUUUCAGACCAGGUCUGACUCUUCUGCCUACUACAAUGUUUUGCUGGUGCCACUAGUGGGAAAAAGUUUCAAAGCAUAUGAAAUUAAUACAUUCCCUUUUGCAUUUGCCAUUAACAGACCCACAAAUAAAUCUCUACAGAGAGAGCUCUACCGCGUUGAAAUUCAGUGUCUGAUCAUGGUUUUUCAGACUAACAUCUUGUGUUGCUGAACUGGAAUUGAGCUCAUAAUCGGGGUAACUUCAAAGCAGACUAAUGCACCAUGAACAGGAGGCUAGUACUCGUUUGGUUCCAUUAGAUGAUGUGGAGGCGAUGAACACUUAACAGUGUAACUGGACAAGAAUCAGAGUUGUCAUUAGUUGAUGACUGAAGGCAUUGUUGCUUUUGUUCAUGACUGAAAAGGAGAGGCAACUUCAAUUGGACGUGGACAAGCAGUGUUCCCACAGAAAACUGUGCAGACAUUCUCUUUUCAUUUGAUGCUCAACCUUUGUUCGAGCAGAUCUGAGUCCCGCUACUUCACUUUGAUGCUCUCAACCUUAAUCUGAUAUGAACCUAUAUCUGACUCCUUUGUUCACUUCCAUUAUUUUUCUUCAAUCUCGUGCAGCACAACUUGUACAAGGGACCUACUUUCACCCGGUCAUGCAUGAUAAAUGUAUGAACAUGUAAUCUAUAUGAUGAACUCACCCUUCGAGAGGUGACAAUAUGGUCGUAACUCUUGUAUGAUGGACAAGAAUCGUGAUUUUUGCCCAAACUCUACAAUGAAAAUUUUCGGAGCAACGGCCAAUGUGUCACCACAAGUCUUGAGUUCAAGAUGCUUCAAGAAGGGUUUGCCCUUAUGCAAAAAACGAUAGCACAUACAACCUAAGGACAGGUUCUAUUCAUUAUGUGAACAUGGGUAGUUUUCUAUCUGGUCUCAAAAGGGUCUCAUAUCUGCCCAGUGACGUUCUUCGUAAAGACAGUAUGGGGGCGUUGCAAGGAAUGGUUAAGGCACGUAUACCCACCAUUACCAAGCAGGCACUCAGAUAUGAGUUGGGUGUUUCACGCAUCUGAACCCUGACCAAUAGUCUUAGGGCAGAUCGCUAGUUCCCCACCUAACCUAGAAGCUUGUGUGUGCUUUUAAAAAUAAAUACAGGUGAUGCAUGAGACAAUUCUAUAAAAUGCAUGGAAAUAAAUAUUAACAAAAAGAUAAAAAUGCAAAAACUUAAACACAUCAAAUACACAAAGCUUAGUCCAAUAAUCGAAAAAAUACCUUCCCCAGUGGAGUCGCCAUUCUGUCGCACCCCAAAAAAAUCAGCGCGCGGCAUCGGCUGGCGAUUUAAAUCUCGUUUAUUGCGUUUGCUUGAAUUUGGUUCGUUGGAGUCGCCACCUAGUAAUUGAUUUCGGGCUACUAGGAAACCGGAUGUACUGGUCUUGUCAGAGAUUCGCGGGUAAGGGACUGGUUGUGGUUAGGGAAGGUAUUAGCACCCCUAACGCACCCUACCUGAGGUAAGCUGCUUCGUGGCUUUGACGUGUUAAAGAAGUUUUAAUAAUUGUCUUUUCUUCGGAAAUUAGAAAUAUCACUUACGUAUAAGUUAAUAAUUCUUAACCGUGAUCCGAUCAAAAUAUUAAAUUCUUCUUUAAUAUAUUUGCAAUUUUAUCAUUUAAAAAUAUAUACAAAUAAAUAAAACAAAAAUACAAGCACACACAUACACUUUCACUAUUUUAUUUUUGUUUCUUUUCUUUUCUUUUUCUUUUCUUUUCUUUUCUUUUACAUCCAUAUUUACAAAAUACAAAUUACAAAAACAAAAAAAACAAAAAUCAAAACUAAACAAAUUACAUUAAAAACACAUUAAAAUUACAAAACAGUCCCUAAAAUUCAGGAAAAACAACUCUGGGAAGCAACUCAAGCCCGACUGAACAGUAGCGGCGCGUCUUCCCACGCGCCGCCGCUACUGGCGGCGCGUGGGUUCACGCGCCGCCACUGGAAAACAUGGCAAACCAGGGGUGUAUGGAGCGCCUUCCUCCCCCGUUCAUUUUUCUGUCGGCGGUGAGGAUCCGGGCACCUGCAAACACAAGAGAAAUACACAAAGAGCAGUCGGUUUUAGUUUUUUAGAUCUGUUUUUAAUUUUCUUCUGCCCGUUUCGGAUCUGCUCAAUUCGUUCUCUUUCUGGUGGUUAUUCCUUCGUUCUUCAGAUGGCGGAGUGCUGAGUGGCUCGCCGGGCGUGCUGCAGUGUCUCCGUCGCAGGAGAAGGCUGGCCAGCGAGAGGAGAGCAAGGGUGUCUUGGCUGGCGGCAGUGACUACUGCUGGAGGAAGAAGACGGCCCGAUUUGGGUCUGUCCACGCCACUGUGUUCGGGGCUGUCGUCUGUCCGGCGGCUUCGCUGUUGACGGAGAUGAAGAGAUCGCAGGAGGAGAAACAGGUAGUGGCCGUCGUCUGUGGGGCUGGCGCUGCUGUCGUCCGUCCGUCUGACUUCGUUGUGGAGAAGAGAGCAGCCGUUGAGCGGUGGCUGGUGAAGAUGGAGAUUUCGGCCGGGGCUGCUGUUUUGGUGGAGGUUCAGAUGGCUGGGAAAAAAUAAAAAAACAGUGGGGGGGGGCGCCAGGUUGAAGAUGGAGGCGACGGCUGGUAUAACAAAAAUCAAAUGUAAAUUCGGGGGCCCCCUUUUCGUUUGGAUCCGAGGGGGGCUGAAAAAGAAGAAAAGGGGGCUCCAAUGUUUAAAAAAAAUCAAAACCGGGGAACAGGGGGGGGCGGCUCUGUUGGCAAAGAAGAUGGGAAACGGCGGGGUAAAAAAUGCACGGGGUAGGGGCGGCUGCUUUGGGUAGGCUGUUUGGAGAAAACAAAUGAUAGGUUUAGGGUUUUUUCCUUUUGUAUUUUUGCUGAAGUUUCAAAAUUGCCCCCCCCCCCUUUAAAAAUCAGUUUAGCAUGGUAUUUAUAGGCAAAAAAUAUUGCUAGGUUUUUCGACUUGGUCCCUCAACUUCUUUCUUUUUGUAAAUUUUGAUUUUUCUUAUUUUUUUGUAUUUUUUGAAAACAAGCAAUAUCAACGUCGACUCAAAUGCGGAAAAUCAAUGAUUUUAAAAAUGACGCGUGAAAAGUCGAACGCGUUUGAAAAUAUUUUAACAAUUUAAAUUCUUUUUUAGACGACGUUGAAAAUGCUAAAAUGACGAAAAUAUAUUAAAAAAACAUAUUUUUUGGAUUUUCUUUGUUUUUCUCAAUUUUUUGGAUUUUUUGAAAAUAUAUCAAAACAUGGGUCAAAAAUUGGGUAACAACAACCAUCACCAUUUUUGGUCUCCAAUAUUAAUGAUCGGACCGUACCAUUGCAUCCAAAAUGAUCAAAUUAGCUGGAAACAAUUCUGAAAUCAUCCAAAUCACAUUUCAGAUGGCUAAGAUUUGAUCAAAACAAGUUUGGCCUCAUCAACGACUCAGAUUCAAUCUCAGAUAUGGUUGCAUGUAGGAUCAGCUACUAUGGAUCCUAUUCCUCGACUCGCGGCUUGGCUCCAAUGCGGCUCGGGGCUGAUGACGUGGCAGGUAGGUCCCACCGUGAUGAGGUGUCUGUUGACUGGGCACUAACAUGUCAUGCCAACUAUGCAUGUUGACGCCAUGAUGAUGUCAUGUUGAUGUCAUCCUUAUCCGGGUCAAUCACGUGGGUCGGGUCGUCUGGUAUUCGGGUCGGGUCAGCCCAUCCGGGUGAAGAAGACGCGUGGCACACGUGGUGUGUGUCUGUGGGCGUGGACAGUCACUUCGUUGGUUCGUAGGGGCACGUGUGGCCAUGUUCGACGUUCGAUUUUGACGCGGUUUUCACCAGUGUGCUCGUCUCUUCCUACUCUACAGAGUGGUAUGGUGAAAACAUAAUGUUGACAACUUUCAUUUUUGAGCAAAAAUCAAACACCACUUUAAACCAUAUGCUUUGAUACCAAUUGUUAGAGAAUCUGACCGGUGAUGUACUGAUAGUUUCCAAUUGGAGGCUAAGCACACUAACACAUUAUUUAACGUGGUUCGGCAAACCGUCUACAUCUACGGGAGAAGAGCCAAUAUUAUUAGAGAUAUAGAGAAAGGGUUACAGCACACAUAGAGGAGGAGGAUCACUUCACUCAAACUCUAGUCUCAUUGCUCUCACACACUACUACACAUGGUAGCAGGGCUGCUACCCUUGGCAGCCACUCCUCUUUCUCUCUUCCUCUCUAUUCUUCACACUCUCACUCACUCUCUUUUGCUCUCAAAUAUUGCCUCUAUUUAUAGGCAUCAAUGGUAAGACAAGAGGCCAUCAAUUAUGGCACAAAAUGGUGGCAGCACAUGGGUUGCACUAUUUUUGUCAAAUGAUUGGUGCAACUUCCAUUAUAGCCUUUUGACAAUGGCAACCCUACUUCUUAGGGUAGGUACACUUGUUGUUGUUCAUUAAUGGCAAUAUCCCAACAAUUAUUUCAUUUUUUCAUCACAUCAAAGCAAAGGAUAAAUCAAGAGGAUAAUAAAGGUGACAAUAAAGAAAAUCAAAUUCUAUAGAUUUAAUAUUUAUUAAAUAUUUGAUUGCUCCAUAAUUAUUCUUAAUAGUUGAUGUUUAUCCCCUAGAUUUAAUCAGAAGGCUCCAUAAUCUUUUCCUCAUAUUAUCUAAUAUACUCUCAAGAUCGAAUUGAAUUAAUUGAAUAUUGCUCGUUAGAAUGACAAUGAUGCGGGAAAAGAAAUCCUGGAUGAUGUGGUAUUUUUCUGAUUUAAUUUAGAUCAAUUACUUUAUUGUGUUGUAUUUUAUUUAACAUGCUUAAAAUUUGAAAUUUUUUGUAAGAACGUAUUUUUGUAAGAAGUCAAAUAUUGCUUUGGCAGUGUUUUCUUCGAACUUGUUUUCUUUUUAUCUUCGGUGAUAAUCUUUAAAGCAGUAAAUUUAAUUUCUUGAUUUAUAGUAAGCUUAGCCAUGAAAUCGUGGAAACUAAAUGAAUAAACAAAUCGAAGAAGAUGAAAAGAUUUGUGAAAGUUAAAAGAUUUCACAAUAGAUAAUCUCUCGAGACACUGCUUACAAUCUGUACAUGAUAUGUAAAGUAUUCUACAAAAUUGUUUUCUCUAAUAUAUGCUAAUCUGUCCCUUUUAUGACGCAUUUAAGCGAGAAGUGAGAUCGAUGAAGAUGUCUUCCCGACAAGGAAUUGUGAGACCACCCAUUUGAUGAUCAAAUCCAAAUUCCUCUUCAGCUUUACUUAGCAGCUCUUGAAAUGAAGGCUGGUUCAAGUGUGACACUGGAAUCACAAAUCUUUUCUUCUCUUCUUCUCCAACAUAUACUGCAACAUAGCCCUUUCGAACAUCCCUAGCUGGAGAUGAUCCUCGAAGAAGAUUUUGCUUAGCUUGAAGAAUACGAGGGAAGCGAAUAGCCAUCAUUUUGUUUGGAUGUAAAUG